rnacentral:tRNA from 1 species
GGCGGGUGUACCCAAGGGGUUUAAGGCAGG